UACGUAGGGUGCAAGCGUUGUCCGGAAUUAUUGGGCGUAAAGAGCUCGUAGGCGGUCUGUCGCGUCGGCUGUGAAAACCCGGAGCUCAACUCCGGGCCUGCAGUCGAUACGGGCAGACUGGAGUUCGGCAGGGGAGACUGGAAUUCCUGGUGUAGCGGUGAAAUGCGCAGAUAUCAGGAGGAACACCGGCGGCGAAGGCGGUUCUCUGGGCAUGUCCUGACGCUGAGGAGCGAAAGUGUGGGGAGCGAACAGG
rnacentral:rRNA from 1 species